rnacentral:rRNA from 1 species
AGAUUGAACGCUGGCGGCAUGCCUAACACAUGCAAGUCGAACGGGAGUAGCAAUACUCUAGUGGCGGACGGGUGAGGAAUACGUAGGAAUUUGCCCUUAAGUGGGGGAUAACCCGGGGAAACCCGGAUUAAUACCGCAUGACCUCGAAAGAGCAAAGUGGGGGAUCGCAAGACCUCACGCUUUUGGAGAAGCCUACGUCGGAUUAGCUAGUUGGUGAGGUAAUGGCUCACCAAGGCGACGAUCCGUAACUGGUCUGAGAGGAUGAUCAGUCACACCGGAACUGAGACACGGUCCGGAC